rnacentral:rRNA from 1 species
GACGAACGCUGGCGGCGCGCCUAACACAUGCAAGUCGAACGGAGCUGAGAGGAGCUUGCUUUUCUUAGCUUAGUGGCGAACGGGUGAGUAACGCGUGAGUAACCUGCCCUGGAGUGGGGGACAACAGUUGGAAACGACUGCUAAUACCGCAUAAGCCCACGGAUCCGCAUGGAUCUGCGGGAAAAGGAUUUAUUCGCUUCAGGAUGGACUCGCGUCCAAUUAGCUAGUUGGUGAGGUAACGGCCCACCAAGGCGACGAUUGGUAGCCGGACUGAGAGGUUGAACGGCCACAUUGGGACUGAGACACGGCCCAGACUCCUACGGGAGGCAGCAGGUGGGGGAUAUUGCACAAUGGGGGAAACCCUGAUGCAGCGACGCCGCGUGGAGGAAGAAGGUUUUCGGAUUGUAAACCCCUGUCGUUAGGGACGAUAAUGACGGUACCUAACAAGAAAGCACCGGCUAACUACGUG